AUUGAACGCUGGCGGCAUGCCUUACACAUGCAAGUCGAACGGCAGCACGGGAGCAAUCCUGGUGGCGAGUGGCGAACGGGUGAGUAAUAUAUCGGAACGUGCCCAGUCGUGGGGAUAACGUAGCGAAAGCUACGCUAAUACCGCAUACGAUCUAUGGAUGAAAGCGGGGGAUCGCAAGACCUCGCGCGAUUGGAGCGGCCGAUAUCAGAUUAGGUAGUUGGUGAGGUAAAGGCUCACCAAGCCGACGAUCUGUAGCUGGUCUGAGAGGACGACCAGCCACACUGGGACUGNGAAAACCGGCCCAGACUCCUACGGGAGGCAGCAGUGAGGAAUAUUGGACAAUGGGCGCAAGCCUGAUCCAGCCAUGCCGCGUGCAGGAGAAGCAUCUAUGGUGUGUAAACUGACUUUUGUACGGGAAGAAACACUACCCUCGUGAGGGAGCUUGACGGUACCGUAAGAAUAAGGAU
rnacentral:rRNA from 1 species